AAAAAGGCGUUGACGGGAAAAAAGAUGCGGUUCGUUCGUUGCAGAGAGCUGUCGGUUGGUGUGAGACAGUCGAAGAAAAGCAGGAUACCUCCUCCCUGAGCCGCAGUGCAGAACUGCUCAUGGGCAAAGUAAGCAUUGACGGGAUUCUCCCGUUAUAGAGAAGCACAUUAUUGCAGAGAUGUGACAGAGCGGGUGCAGACUUUGCACCAAGAAAGAGUGGUACCACGGAGAAAUUAUCUUCUUCGUCUCUUUU
rnacentral:ncRNA from 1 species